rnacentral:rRNA from 1 species
AGUAAUGUAUGGGGAUCUGCCCAAUAGAGGGGGAUAACUACUGGAAACGGUGGCUAAUACCGCAUAAUGUCUACGGACCAAAGCAGGGGCUCUUCGGACCUUGCACUAUCGGAUGAACCCAUAUGGGAUUAGCUAGUAGGUGGGGUAAAGGCUCACCUAGGCGACGAUCUCUAGCUGGUCUGAGAGGAUGAUCAGCCACACUGGGACUGAGACACGGCCCAG